GAUGAAGAACGUAGCAAAAUGCGAUAAGUAAUGUGAAUUGCAGAAUUCAGUGAAUCAUCGAAUCUUUGAACGCACAUUGCGCCCGCCAGUAUUCUGGCGGGCAUGCCUGUUCGAGCGUCAUUUCAACCCUCAAGCUCAGCUUGGUGUUGGGACUCGCGGUAACCCGCGUUCCCCAAAUCGAUCGGCGGUCACGUCGAGCUUCCAUAGCGUAGUAAUCAUACACCUCGUUACUGGUAAUCGUCGCGGCCACGCCGUAAAACCCCAACUUCUGAAUGUUGACCUCGGAUCAGGUAGGAAUACCCGCUGAACUUAAGCAUAUCAAUAAGCGGAGGA
rnacentral:misc_RNA from 1 species